rnacentral:misc_RNA from 1 species
AAGUCGUAACAAGGUAACCGUAGGUGAACCUGCGGUUGGAUCAUUAAUAUAUUUUCUUUUUUUCUUUAGCUCAAGCUCUCGGGCUAGGCUAAGGAAGAAUUAACCCCAAUUGUGAACCAUUUAUUGUAUUUUUGGGUAAGGUACUUUAAGGUUAGCCCUUUUUGUUAAAUUUCUUAACGUAUUUAUUUAUGCGUUUUUAAGAACCUUACCCAACUUAUUUAAGCACUAGUAGUUAAACUUGUCUUUAAACAACUUUUUUAAAGUUAUAUUAUUAUAAUGAAAAAAAAAAACAACUUUUGACAACGGAUCUCUAGGCUCUC